rnacentral:lncRNA from 1 species
ACGAGGAGGUGAGAAGAAGAAACGACACGGCAAGGAGGGGAGAAGCAGUGACGACCCACGGCAAGGAGUGGAGAAGCGGCAACGACCAACGGUGAAGAGCAAAGAAGCAGCGACAAAGAGAGCUCGGACAGAAAAACGGCGAUGCCAACAACAUCCCCGAAAUGACCUUAGCUUCUGGCGACACGAGGAGCAGAGCAGAAUGAAAGGGGAGAUGGUGAUGGUGGCUCUAAU